CAGGUCCCUUGUGUAGCUCCAGAGAAAGCUCUGCGUGAAGUCUCCACACAACCAGAACUCAACAUUUAAAGGCGGCCGUUUGAAAUAUCAGAGAGGACAGCUUCAGUUCUUCUUUCAUUUCAUUCAUAACUAACAAUGGCUGCUUCUGUUGCUGAACUGCAGAGACGAGAAUUAUUCCUGGUAGAGGAAGAUCCUUUCAGAUAUAAUGCUUUCGAGAUGAUCUAUGAAAUGAUAAUGAUGUGUACAGAUGAUACUACAGGGUUAGUGGAUGAGGUUCUUCACAGCAUAUUCUUUUUGGGAAAGACCAACAUACUGAUAUUUUCCCAGAAAAAUAUUG